rnacentral:lncRNA from 1 species
UAUUUGAAGAAUCUCAGAUGUAAAAUAUAUUUUGAUUUGUUUAACACUUUUUCGUUAGUACAUUAUUCCAUAUGUUUUAUUUCAUAGUUUUGAUGUCUUCACUAUUAUUCUACAAUGUAGAAAAUAGUAAAAAUAAAGAAAAACCCUUGAAUGAGUAGGUGUUCUAAAACUUUUGACCGGUAGUGUAGGUCAUUGUUACGCGUCGAGCUGUUGAUCCACAGAACAGGUACAUUGCUGUACUAGUCUAGACAAGUCCUUUCUGUCAUACUUUUCAAAAUGGUUUCCACAUUCGCCAAAUGCCCUCUCUUGAACAAGACACAGCAUUGUGAUCAAGUUACAUAAGAGCUCACAUUAUGAAAGUAAUGAAUCAGAUAAUCAUUAUUUACCAGAAGACAACAAAAAUCACAUUUGAUCGGAUAAGAAGAAUGAGACAUUCAAAAGCAUGAAAGGCAAUGAUAGACAACGGAGUUCAGACAAAUGAUUUAAAGGAAUAUGUGACAUUUGUCACAGUAUCAGGAAGCAUAAUAAUGUCACUGAAGAUUAAUUUAGAUGGCAUUCAUAAAUUACCAUUUUGGUCUCAAAAGACAAUAGAUAGCACAAACAGUACGUCCAUCUACAGUAGUUGUUGGAAGUAGGUCAGACGUAAGUGUUAGGCUACAGAAUAGAAAGCAUUUUCACCAACAACCAACCAGAGGUGUUAAGGUACAGAGCAAAACAAUUACACAGUAACAAAUGUGUAAAAAUAACCCUGUGGCAGUCAACAAAAUUCCAUCUGGAGACCAAACUGAAAAUAGUCUAGGAACGAUGCUUCCCUCUACUGGACAUGAGCUAACUCAACAUGAACUUGAUAUUUCAUCAUUAUGAAUAACUCCAACAGCACCAACAGUGUAGUUUCCUGACAUGUUAGAACUAUUUGGAAACUCAUGUUGCUAAAACAACCUGCAGACAGAAAAUAAAUGGUUUAAACUUCUGCAAUGAUAGUUUGUCAAUAAACAUUCAUUAAUAAAAGGGUAGGCUAAAUGUUUACAGAAAUUAUAGUAAAUAAGAUUUGAGCAUAAUUUGAUUUAAGAUUCUGGAGCACUGAAACUCUACAUUUGGGUAUAGCUAAAAAAAUAAUAGAACACCUCUACCCUGAAGAAAGCUAGUCAACACAUUAGGGCAGGGUUUACCAAACUGUCCUGGUGCCACCCCUGGGUGCACGUUUUGGUUUUUACCUUACCACUACUUCAAAUAAUCAGGGCGUGAUGAGUUUGUUAUUUGAAACAGCUGUGUAGUGCUAGGGCAAAAACCAAAACAUGCACCCAGGGAGGGGGCCCAGGACAGUUUGGAAAACCCUGAACAAGGGAAUUGAGGAAAUGUUUGGCACUUGCCAUUAACUCUGAUACAAUUGAUAAACAGCAUGAGGAUAGUCUGUUUAACAAAAUUGGAUACAUCAAUGUCAGCACUAUACUGUAGUAUGGUGUCAGGAAUAGCCCCUUUCAUAGGCCAAUACCCUAUGUUACCACAGCAUCAUACAGCCUUCCUUACCUGAAGUAACCCUGAUCUGACGUAAAAGGAUAGGUGAAGUCUAUCAUGUGGAACGCUUGCAAGCCACCCUGAUCUCACGAGCUUACAUGAAUGGUUUGCUGCACGAGUCCAGUGAAACAUUUGUGUAAGCUCGUGAGAUCAUGGUGGCUUGCGAGGCUACCCUUUCUCUACAAUCAUUCUAGAUAUUGGAGCACUAAGGACAUUAGGCUGUGUUUUGUAGCCUGACCGAAUCCUAACUAAAACAGCAAAGUGUUCCAUGAUGUACAAACUGAUAUCAUAUUCCACUUCAUAAAUAUUUCAAUCCAAUGACCAUACAAUAUUUGUAGUGGCACUGGUCCACUGUGUACUCCUAUAGUCCAAGUACAGGCUGAAGUUCACCCAUGCCCCACCUACCCAGCCCUGUAGAUCUGAAACUAUUAAAUAGGUGUAAGCAACAUGAAGAUUUCAUCCAAUCCAAUUCUUUCAAAUCUACAGAACUACCCAGGGGGCAAAGUUCAGUUUGAAAUUCAAAAGCAGCAGAACAUUCCAGAGACAAUGUAAAGAACAUCACAUGGUUCCAGUGAUGACAGCUGCUACUUCAUCCCCUGUACUUCAAAUUCAGCACCUGUAUUUUUUUUUGCAGUACUAGGUGUGAAUUGUAUAGAGUACAUUAAAAUAAACUACCAAGUACAGAUCUCAGAACACGUCUACACAUGUUGGCCAUUGAACAGAAAAAUGACAAAUCUUCGCCUUGAACAACAUUUUAUUUCAUUAACUUUGCACAAGUGAGAUGUGGGGCCAUUUUCAGGUGUACUGAUGGGGUGUCAUCUCCACAGGCUUUCAUUUGGCAUCUCACAUCUUCCCCGGCCACUGCAAGGAAAGAGGUGGGAAUUCAUUCAUUUAUG